rnacentral:rRNA from 1 species
GACGAACGCUGGCGGCGUGCUUAACACAUGCAAGUCGAACGGAAAGGCCCUGCUUUUGUGGGGUGCUCGAGUGGCGAACGGGUGAGUAACACGUGAGUAACCUGCCCUUGACUUUGGGAUAACUUCAGGAAACUGGGGCUAAUACCGGAUAGGAGCUCCUGCUGCAUGGUGGGGGUUGGAAAGUUUCGGCGGUUGGGGAUGGACUCGCGGCUUAUCAGCUUGUUGGUGGGGUAGUGGCUUACCAAGGCUUUGACGGGUAGCCGGCCUGAGAGGGUGACCGGCCACAUUGGGACUGAGAUACGGACCAGACUCCUACGGGAGGCAGCAGUGGGGAAUAUUGCACAAUGGGCGGAAGCCUGAUGCAGCAACGCCGCGUGCGGGAUGACGGCCUUCGGGUUGUAAACCGCUUUCGCCUGUGACGAAGCGUGAGUGACGGUAAUGGGUAAAGAAGCACCGGCUAACUACGUGCCAGCAGCCGCGGUGAUACGUAGGGUGCGAGCGUUGUCCGGAUUUAUUGGGCGUAAAGGGCUCGUAGGUGGUUGAUCGCGUCGGAAGUGUAAUCUUGGGGCUUAACCCUGAGCGUGCUUUCGAUACGGGUUGACUUGAGGAAGGUAGGGGAGAAUGGAAUUCCUGGUGGAGCGGUGGAAUGCGCAGAUAUCAGGAGGAACACCAGUGGCGAAGGCGGUUCUCUGGGCCUUUCCUGACGCUGAGGAGCGAAAGCGUGGGGAGCGAACAGGCUUAGAUACCCUGGUAGUCCACGCUGUAAACGGUGGGUACUAGGUGUGGGGUCCAUUCCACGGGUUCCGUGCCGUAGCUAACGCUUUAAGUACCCCGCCUGGGGAGUACGGCCGCAAGGCUAAAACUCAAAGGAAUUGACGGGGCCCCGCACAAGCGGCGGAGCAUGCGGAUUAAUUCGAUGCAACGCGUAGAACCUUACCUGGGUUUGACAUGGAUCGGGAGUGCUCAGAGAUGGGUGUGCCUCUUUUGGGGUCGGUUCACAGGUGGUGCAUGCCUGUCGUCAGCUCGUGUCGUGAGAUGUUGGGUUAAGUCCCGCAACGAGCGCAACCCUUGUUCACUGUUGCCAGCACGUUAUGGUGGGGACUCAGUGGAGACCGCCGGGGUCAACUCGGAGGAAGGUGGGGAUGACGUCAAGUCAUCAUGCCCCUUAUGUCCAGGGCUUCACGCAUGCUACAAUGGCUGGUACAGAGAGUGGCGAGCCUGUGAGGGUGAGCGAAUCUCGGAAAGCCGGUCUCAGUUCGGAUUGGGGUCUGCAACUCGACCUCAUGAAGUCGGAGUCGCUAGUAAUCGCAGAUCAGCAACGCUGCGGUGAAUACGUUCCCGGG